GACGAACGCUGGCGGCGUGCUUAACACAUGCAAGUCGAACGGAAAGGCCCUGCUUUUGUGGGGUGCUCGAGUGGCGAACGGGUGAGUAACACGUGAGUAACCUGCCCUUGACUUUGGGAUAACUUCAGGAAACUGGGGCUAAUACCGGAUAGGAGCUCCUGCUGCAUGGUGGGGGUUGGAAAGUUUCGGCGGUUGGGGAUGGACUCGCGGCUUAUCAGCUUGUUGGUGGGGUAGUGGCUUACCAAGGCUUUGGCGGGUAGCCGGCCUGAGAGGGGGACCGGCGACAUGGGGCCUGAGAGACGGCCCAGACUCCUACGGGAGGCAGCAGUGGGGAAUAUUGCACAAUGGGCGGAAGCCUGAUGCAGCAACGCCGCGUGCGGGAUGACGGCCUUCGGGUUGUAAACCGCUUUCGCCUGUGACGAAGCGUGAGUGACGGUAAUGGGUAAAGAAGCACCGGCUAACUACGUG
rnacentral:rRNA from 1 species